ACGGAAGGCAGCAGUGGGGAAUAUUGCACAAUGGGCGAAAGCCUGAUGCAGCGACGCCGCGUGAGUGAUGAAGUAUUUCGGUACGUAAAGCUCUAUCAGCAGGGAAGAUAAUGACGGUACCUGACUAAGAAGCACCGGCUAAAUACGUGCCAGCAGCCGCGGUAAUACGUAUGGUGCAAGCGUUAUCCGGAUUUACUGGGUGUAAAGGGAGCGCAGGCGGUACGGCAAGUCUGAUGUGAAAGCCCGGGGCUCAACCCCGGUACUGCAUUGGAAACUGUCGAACUAGAGUGUCGGAGGGGUAAGUGGAAUUCCUAGUGUAGCGGUGAAAUGCGUAGAUAUUAGGAGGAACACCAGUGGCGAAGGCGACUUACUGGACGAUAACUGACGCUGAGGCUCGAAAGCGUGGGGAGCAAACAGGAUUAGAUACCCUGGUA
rnacentral:rRNA from 1 species